rnacentral:lncRNA from 1 species
GUUAAUAUUACAUUUGCAAAUCAUCAUUAGGGCCAGGUCUGAGCUGAGCUGAGGGCUGAUUUUGUGUCUGUGUGCUGAGAUCUAUAGAUUCACUAUAUUAAAUAUGCUUUAUUGCUGCUUCGAGGGAGGAGCUGGUUUCAACAGAGGAUGAGAUUCCUUUCUCUAGAUCCUCAUGAAGAGGAGUGCGUGGCCAGGAGUGAGUGGAAUUUGUCCCUUUGUUCUGCAAACGCGCUGUGCUUCAGAGGAGAUGUCUUCCUGUCCUCACCAAGGGAGUGGUGAAUUCUGCCUCCUUCUUUCUGUCCAUAAGGGGGUCAUGCCUUCCAGUGAACUUCAUGUCAUCUAAAUUCCUUCGUCCUUUAAUAAGGUCGGACCAUCCUCUAUGACCUUCUUUCUUCCUGAUGUCCAGUUGCUCAACUUGUUAUGACAAGAACUGAAUUUCUCCUAGAGAUUUAGUAUACAGUGAACACUACAUCUCUGGAAGAGAAGCAAAAGGAGGAGGAGGAGGAGGGCAAGAUGGACUCAGUGUGGCUGGGAGAGAUGCCGGGAACCAGCUGCAUAGGCAGAGUGCUUUGAAAUAUCUUUUUCACUCCAUGCUAAAAUUCAGUUUCCACGAUUUUACAAUAAAGGAGCUUGGCUGCAUGAACAACCAGCUUUACAUAUCAAUAUAGGCUCACAAAUUUAGGGACUAAAAUUGAGGUAGAGAGAGAGACAGAGAGAAAGAGAGAGCGAGAGAAACAGUUGAUCCUCACUGCACCCUGCGGCUCACCAUCCUCAUGAGUGAUGUCUCCAUGGAAGUAAGCCUAGAAACCCAGUGAGGCAAUAUCUGGGCUGGAUUUCUGGAGCCCUUGCUGACUUAGGAUGAAUGUGCUCAUCAGAUGCAUUGCCAGCAUGGGGUCCGUACCUGGGACUCAGGCCACCAUGCAGGACAAAAGGCAAAUCACACCAGGAGCCCACACUCGACCAGUGCCCAUCCUACCCUGUAAAGGAUCUGGAGAAUGUUGCUGUUCUCAGCCAUAGGACCAACAACACCUACGUGAACAUCAUGUUCAAAUCCAUCCAGGACCUGGCUGGUUCCAGGUUCCCUGAAACUCUGUUGCAUUCUGCUGAGUUCCUUCUCUUUUUGAAGCCAUUGGUGGAUGCAACAGCAGCUCCUCCUACACAAUGGAACCAGUACAAAUCCCAGCAAAGAUCAGACAGGAUGUUCUAGCCCAGAAGAGCCAGGAUCCUGAGCGACUGCUGAGGUAACACACAGUAAGAGACACCGCAAGACAACUCUAAGAGGGCAGCAUCUGGCCUCUCCACCACGGUGCGGUGCAUCGCAGCCCUUGGGCCAGUCGGCAAACAUCGCAGCCCUGACAGUGUGUCCUCUAACAGGAUGAGAAUGCCUUUCUCUCUUCUGGACUCCUGCAAAGAGUCGAACAAGCCCAAUAAUCUGUGAGGUGGGUCUGGGUGCGAGGAGACCAGCGUGGCAUGCAGGAAGGAGCAGCGGACGGGGAGCCUGGGCUGCCGUAUCUUUCCAUUACUUAUCUGCAAACUCUUAACGCCAGAGAGACAACAAAAAGUAAUAUAUACUGGGUCAGAGAGGUUGAUAGCACAUCAGGAGGACUAUGAUCAAGGCUGGAAUAUCCAGAGAGUUGAGAGUAGAAAGUCUUUGUCUGCAUUGCUCAGCUUUUGCUGCAUAACAAACCAUCCAAACUGUAGUGACUCAAAACAAAAGCCAUCUAUUUUACUCAUUAUUAUUUAAGGUGGCAGGCUGGGCUGGGCAGCCGGUGGUUCUUCCAGGCUGGGGCGAGCUCAGUAGAUCUCUGCCGGGCUUGCCUAUGCAUCUGGAGUCAGCAGGGCAGUUGGCUAGGGCUCAUGAUUUAGGAUGACCUGGGCUGGGAUGGCCGGGAUCACUGAGGCUUCUGUCCAUGGGAUCGCUCAUUCUCCAGCAGGUGAGUUCAGAUAUGUUCAGAUAUUGAUAAGAUUCUAAGAGUACAGCGUGGAAACUGCAAGUGCCCUUAGGCCUUAGCUUGAAACUUGUUCCGUCACAUCCUGUUGACCAAAGCAAGUCACAAGGCUAGCCCAAAUUCAAGGGGAGCAAUAAAGAACAUUCUACUUGUUAAUAGGAAGAGCUGCAAAGUAACAUAGUCAUUUGUAUAGUCCACCACAGUCUACCAAACUGGAAUAACCUUCCCACUAAGCUCAGCAGAAAUCACCACACUGCAGAAUCAUAAGCUCAGUAAAUGAUGGUUGUUUUGAGCCACUAUGUUUUGGGUUAGUCUGUUAUGUGGCAAAAAUAAUUGAUACUUUGUCUUAGGUUGGAUUCUCUUGGAAUGGAUGUUGAGAUAAAAUGAGAAGUUCUAAGUGGCCAGGUGAUUGUCUUAACAAUUGUUGUUGGGUUUCCUGGUAAAAGCAUUCCUCUUCGUGGAACUAAGAUCUCUAGGCCAGUAAAGCAUCAGGUCAUGGAAACAGGAAGCAAAAAUUUUGCUAGUGAGUCAUUAGAGGUAAUAGUGAGAGGUGCCACUCCCACUUCCACCUUUACUUUCUAGACUCAUGAAUCUUGGCUAUGGAAGAAACAACACCAUACAUUAGAUGCUGAUUCAGAGCAUAUACAGCCUCCUGGGUGACACUGUCCCAGUCCUGGAAGGUAUGGCCACCCAACUGGUACUGUAACUGAGUCUUCAAAAGGGCAUUCUGUUUUCUAUCAAGCCAGCUUCUUCAGAAAGUUGCAGACAUGGUAAGACCAACUAAUUCCAUGAGCAUGGGCCAAUUGCUGCACUUAUUUUGCUGUGAAAUGAGUUCCUUAAUCAGAAGCCAUACUGUGUGGACUAUCAUGAUGGUGGAGAAGACAUUCAGUAAGUCCACGGAUGACAGUGUUGGUAGAAGCACUGCAUGCACGGUAGGCAAAUCCACGUCCAGAGUAAAUGUCUAUUCCACUAAGGCUAAACACAACCCCUUGUAUGAUGGAAGCUGUUCACUGUAAUCAACCUGCCACAGGUAGCUGGCUGAUCACCCCAGGGCAUCGUAUCAUAUUGAGGGCUCAGUGUAAGUCUCUGCUGUUGGCGGAUUAGGUACUCAGCAGUGGCUGUAGUCAGCUUGGCCUUCGUGAGUAGAAGUCCACAUUGCUGAACCCACGCAUAAUCUCCAUCCCUGCCACCGUGGCCACCUUGUUCAUGAGCCCAUUUGGCAAUUACAACGAUGGCUGGGGAAAGAGGCUGACCAAUAGCUACAGACUGGGUCAUCCUACCCACUUGAUUAUUAGAUUUCUGCCCUGCUGAGGUCACCUAUUGGAAAUCAUUCACACAGAUCACAAAUAUCUUCACAUGCUUUUUUACCUCCAAAGAGAUCUAGCCACAUGCCUCUUCCCAACUUCCUUAUCACCAAUGUUCCAAUCAUGUUCCUUCUAAGUUCCUGACCAUCAGCCAAACCAGUGACUACAGCCCAUGAAUAGGUUUGUUUCCCAUGUCUGGCCAUUUCUCCUUCUAAGCAAAGUGCACAACCAAGUAUACUGCACAAAGUUCUACCCACUGGGAGGGUUUCCCUUCACCGCUGUCCUUCAGGGAUGUCCCAGAAAGGGGCUGUGGUGCUGCAGCCUCCACUUUCUGGCAGUGCCUGAAUAUUGUGCAGAACCAUCUGUAAACCAGGCCUGAGUCUUCUCUUCAUCUAUUAACUGAUCCUAGGGAACUCUUCAUGAGGCCACAGGUGCAGGCUGGGAGAGAGAAGGCAGCAUAACAAGAGUGGGGACCAUGGAUAUUUGGGGGACUUCUUCAUGUAACUUGCUUGUGCCUUCAGAGUGUACUUGGGCCCAAUCACAUAUAUACCACUUCCAUUUGCUGAUGGAGUACUGCUGUGCACACCCAACUUUAUGGCUUGUUGGGUCAGAUAACAAUCAGCUCAUGAUGGACAACCCAGGUUGCAUGGUAACUUUGUGACUCAUGGCUAAGUGUUCAGUCUAUACUAAGGCCCAAUGACAGGCCAAAAGCUAUUUCUCAAAAGGGGGGUAAUUAUUCACAAAGUACAUCAGGGCUUUCCUCCAAAAUCCUAAGGGCCUGCACUGAGAUUCCCCUAUAGGAGCAUGCAAAAGAUUCCUUGCAACAUCCCCAACUGCCACUGACACUUUAAGUACCAUUGGAUCUUCUGGGUCACAUGCACAGCAGCCUGGACCUGCUGCAAAGUGCUCUCUUGUUCUGCUCUUGUUCACUCAAAACUUGCAGCUUUUAGGGUCAUGAGAUAAAUGGGAUGAAUAACCCAGAUGAGGAAUAUGUUGCCUCCAAACUACAAAGAGGCCCACAAGGCAAUGUGCCCCUUUUUUUGUUGUAGGAGGGGCCAGAUUUAACAACUUACCCUUCACUUUAGAAGGGAUAGUUCAACAGGCCCUACACCACAGAAACCUAGAAAUGUCACUGAGGUAGAAGGCCUCUGAAUUUUUGUUGGAUUUGUUUCCCACCUUCUGAUACACAAAUAUCUU